CGUGGACAGCAGCAAGUGAAAGCACUUUGUAAGGCGCUACAAAAAAUGUUGUAUUAUCCCAAUUUUAGAAAUGAAGAACCCAAACCUCAGACAGACCACCCUGGUGAAUGUGAUGCUGAAGUGAACACUGAGAUACUAGACUAUGGCAGAACUUGUGCCCCUGAAGUCCACAGGGAAUCUGCCCACUGACCAUCAGACGGCCACUUCCUGCCCCUGGCUCCACGCCCGGUGCCAACAGAACACCUUUCAGGAUCCACAGCAACGCAGACAACGU